CCCCUAGACGUUCUGGGCUGCACGCGCGCUACAAUAAUACGCACAGCGAGUAUCACCGAGCUCGGAAGGGCAAGGUAAACAAUAGAAAAGGUACUGUAAUGGUUAUAGAUCCUUGUAAUUAUUGAUCUUCAACGAGGAAUUCCUAGUAAGUAUGUGUCAUCAUCACGCACUGAUUACGUCCCUGCCCUUUGUACACACCGCCCGUCGCUCCUACCGAUUGAGUGAGCCGAUGAAACUGCCGGAUGUGGACUAUUCAUAGUCUGCAGAAGAUAUUUGAAUCGUAGCGCUUAGAGGAAGGAGAAGUCGUAACA
rnacentral:rRNA from 1 species